rnacentral:rRNA from 1 species
GGCGGACGGGUGAGUAAUGCGUGGGAAUCUACCUGGUAGUGGGGGACAACAGUUGGAGACGACUGCUAAUACCGCAUACGCCCUACGGGGGAAAGCGGGGGAUCUUCGGACCUCGUGCUAUCAGAUGAGCCCGCGUGAGAUUAGCUAGUUGGUGGGGUAAAGGCCUACCAAGGCGACGAUCUCUAGCUGGUCUGAGAGGAUGAUCAGCCACACUGGGACUGAGACACGGCCCAGACUCCUACGGGAGGCAGCAGUGGGGAAUAUUGGACAAUGGGCGCAAGCCUGAUCCAGCCAUGCCGCGUGUGUGAAGAAGGCCUUCGGGUUGUAAAGCACUUUCAGCGAGGAGGAAAGGUUGUAGCUUAAUACGCUGCAGCUGUGACGUUACUCGCAGAAGAAGCACCGGCUAACUCCGUGCCAGCGGCCGCGGUAAUACGGAGGGUGCAAGCGUUAAUCGGAAUUACUGGGCGUAAAGCGCGC